GUCUUUUUGAAGAUCCCUAUGUAGUUAAGGACUUCUGAAGGUCGCCAACACUGGAAGGCUUUCAUCCACUAUGAACAUUCCGUUAAUGACGCUGAUGGUUCAGAACACAUCUGCAAGAAUUGGUGCAUGUUAUUCAUUGGGCAGAAGUUAUUUAAGAUAGAGAAGAUAUUCUCAACCAGAAGAAACUGAAGUUGCAAGAUAUUCACAAAUUAGCUGAACUGCCUUAUAGAUUCGAAAUAUAAUCCUUUACAUUAAAAAUACUAUAAUUACAAAUGAAAUUAAUUCUGAUUAAAGUUGUGGAAUGCAAUGUCAAUAUUAUAAGCAUGCUUAUUCGUGUUUGCCUAAUAUUUUAACUAGCUGUUUUUGUUGCUGCAAGCCAUCUACUAUGCUUUAAUAAAAAUGAAUAUAAAUAUCAGUCCAGUCCUGUGAACAUCUUCAGUACAGAAGUAUAGUUUAUGAUCAAUCUGUGAGACUCUUGUCUAAAUAUCAGCCAUUUAAGUCUGUCUUUAGGUGAUUAAAUUGUUAUUUAAAUCCAGUAUCUCUGUGUAUCAUGAAAACUGUGCAGAAGACUGUAAGGUGUUCUCUACUCCUUUAGAGUAGACUUCUUGUAGAUACCAAAUUAGAAAAUGUUAUCUAUUACAAAUCUGCUCUUGGUUCUCACAUUUUCUAACUAAUAUAUUGGCCAAUAUGAAUAUGAACAAUAUGAAUACAUAUUAUUCAUGUAUGUGUAUUCAUAUAUGUAUAUUCACACAUUCAUAUGUAUUCAUACAUGAAUACAUAUAGAAUUUCAUGUUGUAUGUAUAAGUGCCGUUGUAUUUGGCAAAUGAUUUUAAAACAGCAUUAGAGAAACAACUGUGCUGUGAAAAAUGGUAUUAUGCUUUUUUGUUGUUGUUGUUGAAGUGGACAUUUCAUGGUUGACAUAAAGAAACCCUUGAAGAGAUGUGUAGAUGGUUUGGUCAAAGAAGAUUGUGUGGAGAUCUCUAACUGUUAAACUAUACACAAUUACAACAAAGAUCCGAUAGAUAAUAGUAUAAGUAUAAAAAAAAUUAAUGCAUUUGAGUUGAAGUUGGUCAAUGUUGUUGUUAUGUUAUUUUCAGAAAAGACAUCAGAGGAUAUUCCUGAAGACUGGGACUUAGAAUGCCCUGAAGUAGAUGGGGGAACUGCAGGCUGAUUAGCCUCCUGCCAGUCUGUGGAAAGAUCAUGGAGUAAUUUCUUCUGAAAAUUAUGUCCAUGCACAGAAAAGAAAAUGAUUGAAACAUUAGAAUCAUGAUUGAAGGUUAGAAGGUUGGAAAGGACCUCUAAGACCAUCUAAUCCUGCCAUCAACCCAUCACCACCAUGCUUGCUAAACCAUGUCCCUUUUCUCAGUGUCCCAUCUAAUUUUUUCUUGAACACCUCCAGGGAUGGUGACUCCACCAUUACACUUAGCAGACUGUUCCAGUACCUCAUACCUCACCACUCUUUACAGGAUGAACUUUUUUCUUCUUGGGAAGAAGCAGCAAGGAUUUAGAAAUGGGAACGUCUGCCUGACCUAUUUGAUUGCAACAUGACUAAUUCUAGGGACGAGGUGGUGGUGUUUAUCCCAGCAUCAGUGAUGCUUUUUGCAGUUAUAACCUUGCAGCAAAAUUUGAAAGAUGGCUUGGUACAUUGGGUGAAAAAUUGGCUGGCUGAAACAUCAGGCUCAAAGAUUUAUCAUUGGCGGUAUAAAUUCCAGCUGCUAGCUAACUGUGAGUGGCAUUCUCAAGGCUGCUACUAAGACCAAUCCUGUCUAAUAUAUUCAUAAAUAAUCUGAAUAAUGGGACUUCAUGAAGCCUUAACAAAUUUGAGGUUGAAUAACAAACUGGGAGGGGCAGUAGAUGUGCUAGAAGGUAGGAGUAUCAUUCAGAAUGACUUUUGGAGAAGGCUCAAUAAACUGGCUGAUAGGAACUUCACAAAGUUCAAGAAACACAAAUGCAGAAUCUUGUAGCACUUAGUGGUAUUAGAAAAGACAGUGUGUAAGAUAUAAGAAUAUUUCUAAAGAAAUCAUCUGCUUUCAUUGUAGAUAAGAAGAGUGAACUAGUAGUAUAAUGGUUUGUGGGUGGAACUCUUAUUAGCGAUAAAGUGGUUUACUCACCUACUCAGAUGCUGAAAAGUUUAUGAUAAUUACAGAUCUAUAUUGUUUGAUAUAAAAAUAAAGAUCUAUCUACACGUCCUUAUGUAACUCUGAAUACUGAAACACUUUGCUCUCUGUCAAAGUGGUUUAUAAAUAAUAAAUAAAUAAUAGUUCUAUCUGUAUAAUGGAAAGAAGUAUUUCCUAAACAUGUCAUCACUUCAUCUUUGUGUUCUGUAAAAAGAAAUAGUUUGAACGUGUUUAAGUUUUUUGACAGUAAACGCUAUCAGAUGUUUGUGCCUGAAAGGCUCAUUAUCUGAAAUGAUGGAUUUAGCCAUUAACAGACAAUGCAUUCAAAAGGAUUUUGAGAAAUCGAGGUAAGGUAAAAUGCUAUUUUGUGUAAUGAGGUACCUUGCAGGAUAUGAAUAAGAUUGUUUGCAGACUGAUGUGCCUAGGUACUCUGGGAUCAUCUAUGAAGUAUAGUAAUGGCAAUAAGAAAUAUGAGAAUAAUUUAUUUCCACCAAUUUUUACAUGCUUUCUUAUUUUUUUUUUCUGCUCUGUUUAUCUUUAUCAUAUCAUGAUCUUACUGACAAGUCAGACUUAGAGGUUGCUUUUAUAAUGAUAACUGGUGUAAUAAGGAACAGCUGCUAUUCUAGCUAAGGUCAGCAACUAAUGUAAUGAUAGCUGAGAUCAAAAACUAAUUUAAAGAAUCUGGGGGAAAAAAAAAAAAAAAAAACCAAGACAGGAAGUAAGAUUUUCAGUGGCAUUAU